UAGAGUUUUUUGAAGUGGAGUUACUGCACAUCUUCUCAUCUCCAAGUAGUCCUUCUUCCUGGCCUUGUGCUUCUUGCCGUGAAGAUGCUCAUCUAGAUCUCUCUUGCUAGUAGUACUGACCUGACAGAGGGCACAACUCCAAUCCAUGGGGUUUCUUUGAACUCGUCAACAUGAGCUCUCCAGAACCUGCUGGUAGUGUGGAAGCUUCCUGUUUUGAUCCACAAAGAUUGGGAUAUGGUUUAACCUGCUGGGCUUGACAACCCUCCUCUUUCUGGUCUAAACCAACAACAGUUCUAUUAGCUUUAACUGAUUCCUAUGUUGCUUUAUUCUUCAUUUCUUGGCCAGCACUGUGAUACGACACUCUUUAAGCGAGUGCAGGCUCCAAUCUGUGGGGAAAAGAAUUUGCAGAAAGAGAAAAGGGACAGGGGAAUUGCAGAGAAGAGAAAGAAGACGAAGCUGAAAAAAGACAAAAUGAUAUAUUCUUUUUUGAUAUCCCUCAUGGGUCCCUUUGACAGUACAAUAUAUUCUCUCUCCCAAAAACAGCCAUGCACCCUUAACUAACUAAAAUAGAAUAAAAUUGAUAACAACAAAAUAAUAAUUGAAAACAAAACAAUAUUCGUUAUUAUAAUCUCUCAAGCAUUCUCGAACAUUCCUCAAAUGACAAAGUCUUUGAGCCAUCCUGGUUUCUUUCUCGCGCGAGCUGAACCUGUCUUGAGCUGCUCUCUAGCUUGUGUCUCAUUCACGGGUUGGACUUCUUCCAUUUCUGCAGGCUGGGUCUCUUCCCUUGCUGUCUCAUUGUGCUCGAUCUGAUUCACAACAAUUGGCCAGGUUGUAUCAUUCCCCAUUCCUUGAAAGCUUACCUUGUCCUCACGGUGUAGUGCAGGGUAGAGUUUACGAAAUUCCUCAAAGUCCUCCCAAGUUGAAUUUUCUGGUGAGCUAUCAGACCAUUGCACCAAAAUUUGUGGAAUUUCUUUGCCUUGUCGAAGUAUCUUUCGCUCAGCACAUACUGCAAUUGGUGAUGACAAGGGCUUGUUAUCCACACUUCCUGGAGGCAGUGAAUAAACAUCAAUGGGGGAGUUUCCCACAUAAGGUUUUAGUAAGGAAAUAUGGAACACCGGGUGAAUUCUACAAUUUGUGGGUAACUCUAACUUGUAAGCAACGGGUCCAAUACGCUCUACCACUGUGAAUGGUCCAUAAUAGCACCUUGCCAGCUUAUGAGAUGAGCGCUUAGCAACUGAUGUCUGGCGAUAUGGCUGAAGGUGCACCAACACUUUAUCACCUACCUGCAAUUGAGUUUCUCGGCGAUGUAAAUUAGCCUUUUGAGCCAUUCGAUGCUGAGCUUGUCGUAAGUUCUCUUUCAAUGAGCAAAGCAUGGCAUCCCUCUCAAUUAACAUGUCUUCUAAAGCUUGGAUUGAAGUAGAGCCCCUUGAGUAACUUGGAAUUGUGGGAGGAAAACGACCAUAAAGGGCUUGAAAGGGAGUCAUUCGCAAGCUGCUGUGAUAACUGGUAUUGUAGCAAAAUUCAGCCCAGCCUAAAAAUGAAGACCAUGUCUGUGGCUUGUCUUGUGAGAAGGCUCGUAAAUAUUGCUCAAGCCCUCGAUUAACUACUUCGGAUUGACCAUCCCUUUGGGGGUGGUAAGCCGUGCUGUGCCGUAACUGUGUACCACUUAAAUCAAACAAUUUCUGCCAAAAGUUGCUCAUGAAUAUAGGAUCACGAUCUGAAAUUAUAGAGCUAGGAAAUCCAUGUAAUUUUACAACCAUGUCAGCAAAUAAAGCUGCUGUUUUGAUGGCAGUAAAUUGAGAAGGCAAGGCUCCAAAGUGAGCUGACUUUGAUAAACGAUCCACAACAACNNNNNNNNNNNNNNNNNNNNNNNNNNNNNNNNNNNNNNNNNNNNNNNNNNNNNNNNNNNNNNNNNNNNNNNNNNNNNNNNNNNNNNNNNNNNUUACUGCUGUACCGUACAUCCGCCUUGGCCGUACAGCAGUUUUUCCUCCUUAACUUCAGAGCUAUCAGAUGUCUCCUUACUAGAGGUGGAACCAGUAAUUGCCUGUAAAUAAAUUUCAUCAGCAAAUUUGCACAAGUGAAUGUUCAUGUAUAAUCAAGUAACAGUUCCACAUAAAAAUCAAACAACAAACUGAAUCAACAUGGACUCGAUAAAACUAAUGGCAUAAUCAGACUACCAUUAUCAGUUGAAGUUAAUUUUAUACUCGCGUAUGUAACUCCUCGACAAAAUGUACAUUAAAACCAGUAAAUAAAUAGAACAGAAUAAAGAAGAAUAUUCCAUAUUAUGAAAUAUCUGAAGAUAUUUAUGAAUAAAAAUGUCAGCACUGUACUGAACAGCAUCACAGUUGAAGCUAAUAUUACUCUUUUAAAAAACAAAAAAAAAGAAAGAAAUGAAUUUGAUAUUAAAAAAUUAUAUAGUUACCUUAACGGUGAUACGUCGAUUUAGAUCAGCAUAAUUCAUCGUUCCCUGCGAUAAUAAAUCAGACACGAGACUCCAUUUCCAUUACACACAAAACGCCCAAGCAUUAAGUAUUAACAGGAAGAAAAAACGACAAAAAAAUAUUGCGUUUUACCAGAGAAUUGAAAGAAGAAGAAGCAGUAGGCUUCCGUUGAUUGAAUCUGAAGCUUUGCAAAGGCAAAGCGGAUGAUCUGAAAUAUUAACCAAAAAAAUUAAAAAAUGAAAACGAAUUAAAGGAGAAUUAAAAUAAAAAUUAAAAAAAGAAGAAGAAAAAGAGGACCUUGGAAGAUUCUGUAGACAGUUCAUUGAUUGAAGAAGAAAGGAAAAUAUCAGAGCAAAUCGUCAAGCAGACAAGUGUGUGUGUGUAAUAAGACCGUUUGAUUUUUUUUUUUUCGUUUUCCUUAUUUUCAUGGUGAAUUUUAUAUAAUUUUUUGAUUAUUUAUAUAUAUAUAUAUAUAGAUAUUUAUUAAAAGAUAAUAAAAUAUAACAUAGUGUCCAAGUCAGAUUGAAAAUAAAUCAACACGUAUGAUUGUUGAAUUGUUAAUUGUGUUAUAAAUAAUUUCGCAUCUUAUUUCAAUUAUUGCCUAUCAAUCUACACUUUCUUCUAGUUUGCAUAAUGACUUCGUUGUUCUUGUAAGAUCUAUAUAGUUUUCUUUUUGUGUGUGCGUGUGGGGUAGGGGGGGUGGGGCGCGGCUACUGGGAGCCUUUGAUAAAGAAAACGACGUUGUUACAGUGAAUCUCAGGGUCCAUGUUUGUGUGAUGAUAUUUUUCGUGAGAGGUUAUGGUGUCUAAUUGGGCGGACACACGUUUGGCUUGUAGAUGAUAUGACUGUGUAACCAUGUUGCAGCUGUUGCUUGCUUUCAGCAUUCUAAUCAUUGACCAACUUGGGAUCUUCAUAUCCGUUGGUGGAAUUAUUUGCACCAUCUAAGUCUUGACGGGCACCCCUUGAUUAUACUCGGUGGAAUAAAUUUUGCACUUAUUUUUAAAAAUAAAUAAAUAAAGAAUCCCCCGUGGGGAAGUUAAAGUGCAAACACGAAUUGAUUAGUGAAGAGGACACAGAGAUUUGACAUGAUAAUUAAUCAUCUCGUUAUGAUGUGUUAGUGUAUAAUGGUUAAUAUUUACCUCAAUUUUUUUUUAUUUCUAUUUCUUUUAUAUUUGCAGGACAUAAGAGUGGUUUUAAAUAGAUUUGGUAGCAACAUUAUUUUCUCUAAUGGCCUUCGUGAUCUCUAUAGUAGCGCUGGGUAAUUAAACUUCUAUCGAAGUUACCAAUUUAAUUAUACAUUUUUUUCUUUUCUUUUUUGAGGUUAUAGGGUUCUAAAAGAUAUAUCAGACAAUAUAAUAGCAGUGACAACAAGAAACGUUAUGUAAAUUUUUCUAUAAAAUAAAAAAAUUAGUGUUCAAUUAUUAACUAAAUUAUUGGAUAACAUAAUUAAUAGUGUGUAAAUUGGAGCAGGUUCCCAUUGCUUAGACAUACAGCCAGUAACAGAAGAUGAUCCAGAGUGGUUAGUAAUGCAGCGAAAGAUUGAAGUGGACAUGGUUCAUGAUUGGAUCCUCAAAUACUUUGCUGAUUUGCUUCAAAAUCAGAGCAUAAGAUUAUAUUGUGACUACAAAAUUAGUCUUUUCUUUUUCUUCCUCUCCUCUAUCUUUCUAAUAUUUAUGGAGCAAAGAUAAAUAAUAGUGCGCCUAGCUAGUUUUAGAUUUGGUCAUUUUCAUAAUUCUUAAUCUGGGUUGUCUUAAUGUGUAGAACAAGUGUGCUUACUUAUUGUAAAGCACAUAAAAAGGGUUCAAUCUUUAUGUAAUAAUCAUAUGGGGAAUAUCAAUUCAUAUACAAUCACAUUGAUUUAACCAUUUCCUUGAAGCCGGGGAGAGACAAAGAAUUUGCCCUCCAUAUACAUGUAUCUCUCAAAACUUGGGUGUUUAUCCUUAUAUGCUCCGUUUAUUAGUAGCCAAGCUUAUGAGUGUAUUGCUCCAGGUGAACCUAUUCUUAUUCUCCCACAUAAUAGCUACUUUUGUUUAAUUAUUUGACAAUCCAAUGCAAUUCCAAUCAUGACUUGGGAUCAGUUUGAAAUUCAGAUGGCUGAUGAAAUAAACUACUUCUGUGUGCGAAUAAAAUAAAUUGAUGAUUAUAAAAGUAGCUUGCUCGGAGUUUGGUAAAUUUAAAUAUGAAAGAAUUAUUUUAUUAUCUAAUCACUAAAAUAGACAUAAGUUUAAAUUGUCUUUAUUUAUGUAUUAGGAUUUAAAAAAAUAGAUAUAAUUAAAUACUAAUGACGUUGAUAGAGAAAAAUACUAAUGACGUUGUUACAGUGAAUCUCAGGGUCCAUUUUUUGUGAGGUUAAUGAUUGCAUUCUGGGUUGCGUUGCACAGUCUUUAGUGUUCAUUCAUCUUUUUAUGGUAAGUUGCAUGCAUUUGUUUUGUUUUAAAAAUAAAAAAUAAAGAAUCCCCCGUGGGGAAGUCAAAGUGCAAUACGAAUUUAUUAGUGAAGAGGACACAGGUUUGACAUGAUAAUUAAUCAUCUCGUUAUGAUGUGUUAGUGUCUAAUUCACAAAUUCGUGUAAUAAAUUGCCACCCUUUCGUGUGAGACUACUGUUAAUUUUCUUCUUCUCCUCACAAAUUUUGCUUUUGCUUCCACUUCACCAUUAAAGAACAUCCCAAAGCUUGGUGUUGUGCGUGGAAGGACUAUUUUUCUAAACCCUAGUAAAAAAAUAUUAACUUCAGAACCAGAGGGUGAUCUCGAAACUUAUUAUUAUGAUCAAAUACUUGAUCACUUUAACUAUAAUCCACAAAGUUAUUUAACUUUUUGAUUGGAUCCUCAAAUACUUUGCUGAUUUGCUUCAAAAUCAGAGCAUAAGAUUAUAUUGUGACUACAAAAUUAGUCUUUUCUUUUUCUUCCUCUCCUCUAUCUUUCUAAUAUUUAUGGAGCAAAGAUAAAUAAUAGUGCGCCUAGCUAGUUUUAGAUUUGGUCAUUUUCAUAAUUCUUAAUCUGGGUUGUCUUAAUGUGUAGAACAAGUGUGCUUACUUAUUGUAAAGCACAUAAAAAGGGUUCAAUCUUUAUGUAAUAAUCAUAUGGGGAAUAUCAAUUCAUAUACAAUCACAUUGAUUUAACCAUUUCCUUGAAGCCGGGGAGAGACAAAGAAUUUGCCCUCCAUAUACAUGUAUCUCUCAAAACUUGGGUGUUUAUCCUUAUAUGCUCCGUUUAUUAGUAGCCAAGCUUAUGAGUGUAUUGCUCCAGGUGAACCUAUUCUUAUUCUCCCACAUAAUAGCUACUUUUGUUUAAUUAUUUGACAAUCCAAUGCAAUUCCAAUCAUGACUUGGGAUCAGUUUGAAAUUCAGAUGGCUGAUGAAAUAAACUACUUCUGUGUGCGAAUAAAAUAAAUUGAUGAUUAUAAAAGUAGCUUGCUCGGAGUUUGGUAAAUUUAAAUAUGAAAGAAUUAUUUUAUUAUCUAAUCACUAAAAUAGACAUAAGUUUAAAUUGUCUUUAUUUAUGUAUUAGGAUUUAAAAAAAUAGAUAUAAUUAAAUACUAAUGACGUUGAUAGAGAAAAAUACUAAUGACGUUGUUACAGUGAAUCUCAGGGUCCAUUUUUUGUGAGGUUAAUGAUUGCAUUCUGGGUUGCGUUGCACAGUCUUUAGUGUUCAUUCAUCUUUUUAUGGUAAGUUGCAUGCAUUUGUUUUGUUUUAAAAAUAAAAAAUAAAGAAUCCCCCGUGGGGAAGUCAAAGUGCAAUACGAAUUUAUUAGUGAAGAGGACACAGGUUUGACAUGAUAAUUAAUCAUCUCGUUAUGAUGUGUUAGUGUCUAAUUCACAAAUUCGUGUAAUAAAUUGCCACCCUUUCGUGUGAGACUACUGUUAAUUUUCUUCUUCUCCUCACAAAUUUUGCUUUUGCUUCCACUUCACCAUUAAAGAACAUCCCAAAGCUUGGUGUUGUGCGUGGAAGGACUAUUUUUCUAAACCCUAGUAAAAAAAUAUUAACUUCAGAACCAGAGGGUGAUCUCGAAACUUAUUAUUAUGAUCAAAUACUUGAUCACUUUAACUAUAAUCCACAAAGUUAUUUAACUUUUUCUCAUAGAUAUGUGACUUCAAACAUUGGGGCGGCGGCGGAGCCACGGCGGCGCCAAUAUUGGCAUAUCUUGGUGAAGAGAGUAGUCUUGAUGAUGACCUUGGUGGCACUGGAUGGCUUACUGAUAAUGCUCAUUGAUUUAAAGCCUUGCAAGUUUACAUAGAGGUAAGUAAAGAAUCUGUUAUCAGGCUAGCUUGAUAAUAAUUGAAAUAGAGUUCGCAUACAAAAUAAUAAUAAUAAAGACAAAUCUUAAUCAGAAUAUUCUACAAUAUGAACUGAAAAGUUGUGAUGGAUUUUUUUUUUAAUUCGAUUUUUUAUGCAGCAUCGGUUCUAUGGAAAAUCAGUACCUUUUGUAUCAAGCAAAGAUGCCCUAAAGAAUGCAACUCUUCGUGGAUAUUUCAACUCUGCUCAAGCUUUGGCAGAUUAUGCAAAGAUUCUCUUACACAUCAAGGAAAAAUUUAUCGGCCGAAAUGUCUCCCAUUAUCGUUGUUGGAGCAUCUUAUGGAGAAAGUAAAUUUUAAUAUUAUUAACUUACUUACAUCUUUUGAUUAAUGUCGUGUCAUUUGUUGCAUCAUUUUAUUCAUUUUGAUCUCGUUUGACCAAAAUAUUAAUUAUGCCAAUAUUAUUUUGAUACAAAUUUAUUUUGCAUUCCAAUUAAUGAAUACUUUCAGCAAUCGUAAAAUUAAGAAAUAGUAAAUAUAUUUUCUUUUUUAAUUAUAAAGUUUACCUCAAUUGUUGUUUGAUUUCUAUUUCUUUUUAAUUUGCAAGAUAUAAGAGUGGUUUUAAAGAGAUUUGGUAGCAACAUUAUUUUACCUAAUGGCCUUCGUGAUCCCUAUAGCAGCGAGGGGCAAUUAAGCUUAAAAAUUUUGUACACUCUUUUCUAUCGAAGUUACCCGUUUAAUUAUAUGCCUUAUUCUUUUUCUUCUUUUUUUUUUGGUGGGGGGGAGAUUAUAGGGUUUUGGAAGAUAUCAGACAAUAUAAUAACAGUGACAACAAGAAGCAGUAUGUAAAUUUUUCUAUAAAAUAAAAAAUAAGUGUUCAAUUAUUAACUAAAUUAUUUGAUAACAUAAUUAAUUAACAGUGUGUAAAUUGGAGUAGGUUCCCAUUGCUUAGACGUACAGCCAGCAAUAGAAGACGACCCAUAAUGGUUAGCAGUGCAGCGAAAGAUUGAAGUGGACAUGCUUCAUGGUUGGAUCCUCAAAUAUUUUGCAGAUUUGCUUCAAAAUCAGAGCAUAAGAUUGAUUUGUGACUACAAAAUUAGUUUUUUCUUUUUCUUCCGCUCCUCUAUCUUUCUAAUAUUUAUGGAGCAAAGAUAAAUAAUAAUAGUGCACCUAGCUAGUUUGGAUUUGGUUGUCAUUUUCAUAAUUUCAAUCAGAUUGAAUUAACUAUUUUCUCCCUUUGAUUUAAGAGUUACUGUAUAGGUCCUUGAAGCCGGAGGUAGUCAAAGAUUUGCCCUCCACACACACACACACACACACACAUAUAAAAAUAUUCUAAUUCAGAAUUUUAAAGUGCGGGAACGUUUGAGAAAACGCAUAAACCGUGCAGUUUAAGUGUUUUAAGUAUUAAGCCUUUAAAAUCCCGCGGUUUUAAAAUUUUUCCUAAUGUUUCCCGCACUUUAAGGUCCUGUACCAAAAAACUACUUUAUAUCCGCACUUUAAGAUCCUGUAUUAUUUAAUGAUUAAAAUAAACAUGAGUUUAAAUUGUCUUUUAUUUAUAUAUUAAAGCUUAUAGAAAAGUAAGAUAUAAUUAUUCUUUUCUUAAAAUAUUAAGGUUAUAAUAUGAACAUUUAAAAAGAUAUAGCAACUUAUUUAAUAAGUUGCUUAUAAAAAUAGUCUCUGUUUUGUUUUUAAAAGUUACAGUCAAAAUAGAGAAAAUUAUAAAAAAAAAAUAACUUUUAACAAAGCCAUCAAAUUUCAUUUUUAUCUAAACUUAUAAAAUAAACUGCUUAUAGUAUUUCAAUCACAAUCCUAGGGCAUUAAUCUUUGUAUAGAAUCAGAUUAUACAUUGAAUAUUUCUAAUUUUCUACACAUAAAUUAAAAUAUGUAGACUAGAAAAACACCUUGACUUCGUAAAGUCUACUUCAUUCUUUAAUUUCCGCAGCAUAUGUCAAGACAUUAUUUCCAAAUAAUUGCCGACUAGGAGAAGUCUUAUAGUCAAGGUGAUUAGAUGAGCGUGUUAUGGAAUCGUAGUGGUUCCCUGCCCUCAACUUAAAAAGUGGCCUUCAAAAUUAAAUAUUAAAUAAUGUGGCAUUAUUAAUGUUAUAUAUAUAUAUAUGUCUUCAUGUUUUGCACGGGUUCGAAUGGCAGUUGUAAUAUUAAAUAAUAUGGCAUUAUUAAAGUUAAAAAAAAUAUGUAAGGUUAAUCAUUAAAAAAAAAUUUAUAAAAAAAUAAAUAAAGAUUAAAAUGGAUGUUAGAAAUAGCCCGUGAGUUUCCAUAGUUUGUGUGUUACAAAAGGACUUUUGUAACUAUUUUAAAAAAAUAAAAAAAAAUUAUUUUGAUUAUUCUGUCAAAUCACACAUUCUGUUCAUAUUAAUAUUUAAUAUCUUAAUAAUGCUAUUAAUUAUUUCUAAUAUUUUCCAUAUUAUCUCAUGUUUCUGCAAUGUUGUUCAAAUAGAUCUACACCACACAAAAUACAAGCCAAUAAGGUUAUAUCUCCAUGAUUGAAUCCAUCUAGAGAAGACCUUGACUCACACUAUUUGAAAACGCGUAUGGGAAAUUAACACUGGGAGGUUGCAAAACAAUUAAUUCUUAUAUAAACGCUUUGCUGAGAAUCAAAUAUAGCUCAAUCAACCGAAAACCAUUAUAAACAUGGCAUCAGCAUCCUCUGUUUCGAGAUUGGUGGUCAUUUUAAUUUUAAUUAAUGUUGGUGCUAUAAGUGAUAAAACAAUAUUUGUAAUAGCAUCAGCUGCUGGAUUAUUGUCGUCACCCGUACAGUUAGAAAGAGAAGCUUUACUGAUUACAGGCUGGUGGUACGACAAUUGGGCAACGUCGGGCAACUACACGUCCGAUCAUUGUAAGUGGACUGGCAUCCGUUGCAAUUCAGCGGGAAGCGUAAUCAGGGUCAGCUUACUCUGGUAUGAAAAUGAUAACAUGAAAGGAGAGCUUGGUCGUUUCAACUUCUCUUGCUUUCCCAACCUCAAAAGUUUCAAAAUUCAUUCAAAUUAUCUUCUCUCUGGGAGCAUUCCAUCUGAAAUUACUGCCCUUUCAAUGCUCCAAACUCUUGAACUGCCCUCCAGCAGGCUUACCGGUAUGCUACGAAACUUCACUAUAUAUAUGUAUUUAUGUAUGUAUGUAUGAAGUCGUGCUCAUGCUUGAAGCAGACGUCUGUUUUUACAACAUUGAAGAAGUUUUUUUUUAUGAGGAUUUCUUUAUAAAUUUUAUUGCUAUGAGGAUAGUGAAUACUGAUCUCGUUUUUCAUAAAUCACAUGCGCAACAGGAAUUAUCCCUUCAGAGAUGGGGAGAUUGAGGAAUCUCGUCCGCCUGGAUCUAUCUGAUAAUUACAUUGGGGGAUAUAUCCCUCCAACUCUUGGUCGUCUAAGCAAAUUGAAAAUUUUGAACUUGUCUUCUAACUUCCUUGUUGGUAAUAUCCCUCUAACUCUUUGUCAUCUAAGCAAAUUGAAAAUUUUGAACUUGUCUUCUAACUUCCUUGUUGGUAAUAUCCCUCUAACUCUUUGUCAUCUAAGCAAAUUGAAAAUUUUGAACUUGUCUUCUAACUUCCUUGUUGGUAAUAUCCCUCUAACUCUUUGUCAUCUAAGCAAAUUGAAAAUUUUGAACUUGUCUUCUAACUUCCUUGUUGGUAAUAUCCCUCUAACUCUUUGUCAUCUAAGCAAAUUGAAAAUUUUGAACUUGUCUUCUAACUUCCUUGUUGGUAAUAUCCCUCUAACUCUUUGUCAUCUAAGCAAAUUGAAAAUUUUGAACUUGUCUUCUAACUUCCUUGUUGGUAAUAUCCCUCUAACUCUUUGUCAUCUAAGCAAAUUGAAAAUUUUGAACUUGUCUUCUAACUCCCUUGUUGGUAAUAUCCCCCCCACUCUAGGUCAUCUAACCCAGCUAACUACUUUGGCUAUGUCAAAUAAAGUGGCCAUCUAGAUGGUAUAAAGCAGCCAUCUAGAUGGUCAGCAACAAUUUUGUUCAAAGAAGAAGAAUUUUGCAGCAAAUUUGAAAAAAAACGAAGCACACGACUUUGACAAGAGAAAGAAGAAAAAGAAGAAAAAGAAGAAAAAAAUAUAUAUAUAUAAUUGAUGAAUAGUGCCAAAGCUUUCUCUAUAAAUAGAAACAAAGAGAAUGAGCAAAUUCAUUCCAUUCAGAGAGCAAUUUAGCAGUUGAGAGAGAGUUUAGAGAGCUUGAAUUUAUAAGCUCUUGUUAUAGUGAUUUAGAGAGUUUGGGUGUAUUGGGGUUUUGAGAAGUGAGCUAAAAUACUACAAUACUUGUAACUCAUUUUCAAUAGUAAAAUAUUUCCUUCUGUCUUCGCCCGUGGAUGUAGGCUAAAAGCUGAACCACGUAAUUUCUAGUGUCGUCUAUUGUGCUUGUUCUUUAUUUUUCUUCCAAUUUCAACUUAGGUGCGUGUCUGCUUCACCCACCAAUUUCCUAACAGGCUAUUGUCUGGAACCAAAUUAAUGGUUCCAUCCCAUUAGGAAUCGGGAGUUUGAAGGCUCUUUAAGUUCUUGACCUGUCCAGAAAUGAAAUUGAAGGUUCAAUUCCUUCAACACCUAGCCAUUUAAAGAGAUUGAGAAGUUUAAAAUUGUCCGAAAACAAACUUGUUGGUCCAAUCCCUUCGUCCCUGGGUCAUUUGACUCAGCUAACUACUUUAAAUAUGUACAACAACAAACUUGAUGGUCCAAUUCCUCAAGAACUCAUGAAUUGCUCAAAGCUGCGGAUAUUAAUAUUGGGAAACAACUUGUUAAGCGGAAGCAUUUCGUCAGAGAUUGGCAAACUUCAAGAACUAAAUUAUCUUGAUUUAAGCCAUAACUUGAUUAAUGGUAAAAUACCUUCCCAGCUUGGAGAAAUUCCACGCAUAGAUACCGUGAACCUUUCCAUGAAUAAUCUUUCCGGUAGCAUCCCUGAAUCUGUCAAAAAAGUGCCUCUCUUAUAUGUAUCAGGCAACAAUUUCGAGGUAGAAAUCCCAAGUACUUCGGCAAAAGCGCCACCACCACAUCACAAAGGCAAUGACAAAAAGAUUGCCACUCGAUUGGUUGCAAUUAUUCUUCCUAUGUCCGCAUUCCUUGCCUUAAUAUUUGGAAUCUUGUUUGUCCGUAGACGAAGGGAUAAGAAAGUUGAACCAACUGAGACAGGAGAAAUUACCAAGUGCGCUGAUGAGUUUGCAAUUUGGAAUUACGAUGGUAGAAUUACAUUUCAAGACAUGAUUGAAGCUACUGAGGAUUUCCAUAUCAAAUACUGCAUUGGAACCGGAGGCUAUGGCAGCGUUUACCGAGCACGACUGCCCAGUGGAAAAGUAGUUGCUUUGAAGAAGCUUCACCGUUCAGAAACUGAGGAGUUAGCUUCCCUCGAGAGUUUCCGGAAUGAGGCUCGUCUACUGUCCCAAAUAUGGCAUCGAAAUAUCGUAAAGCUUUACGGGUUUUGUUUGCACAGGAAAUGCAUGUUCUUAAUCUAUGAGUACAUGGAAAUGGGAAGCUUGUUUUGUGUUCUACGCACAGAUGAGGAAGCUGUUGGUUUGGAUUGGGCUAAAAGGGUGAACAUUGUGAAGGGCAUGGCUCAUGCUUUGUCAUACUUGCAUCAUCACUGCACACCACCAAUUGUUCACCGCGACAUAUCAAGCAACAACGUUCUACUCAACUCAGAAUUAGAAGCAUUUGUUGCUGACUUUGGCGUUGCUAGAUUAUUAAAUUUUGACUCAUCCAAUCGAACUCUAUUGGCUGGCACUUCUGGAUAUAUUGCUCCAGGUAAUCUUCUCGCUAUUCUUCUUCUGCUUCUUUAAUUAUUCUUUUAAUUAAUUUUUGUAUACACUCUGUUAAGUAAUUUUUAAGCAGUUUUAUUUAGUUAGCUACUUAAGUUCGAAUUUUAGAAUAGAUAAGGAGCUGAAAAAUUAAUUUGAACUUUGCGUGCCCGUUUAACUCCUUAUUUUUUUUUAAAAAAAAUACAUACACUUUAGAUAUCAGUUAAAAACAUAUGUUUCUUUGUCAUACCUUGCUGCAGAAGCUCAAAAAUAUAAACAAAUUGCUCUUGUUAUUACUUAGAAAACAUCACUGAUAAAGGUUUUUGUUUUCAUACAAAACUUGCCUACACCAUGGUUGUGACGGAGAAAUCUGAUGUUUAUAGCUUCAGAAUGGUGGCACUAGAAGUACUAAUGGGAAAGCAUCCAGGAGAGAUCCUCUCAUCAUCAUCUUCAUCAUUGGAUAAAAAUAUAAAGCUGAUUGAUUUGUUGGACCCACGCCUCUCACCUCCGGUGGAUCAGAAGAUUAGGCAGGAUAUCAUUCUUGUUUCAACAGUAGCAUUUUCAUGCUUGCGUUCUCAACCAAAGUCUCGACCUACAAUGCAACUCGUGUCCAACGAAUUUAUCGCUCGCAAUAAGGCACCGAUGCAGAAACCUUUUCAUGAAAUUUCAAUUGUGGAGCUUAGAAACCAAGAAAUGUAUGUGGUUGAUUAAUGUGAUAUCUAAUUACGGAUGCGUAUAUUUAACUGUUCAUGUAUGUGAUGGGAUUGCUUGUAAUCAUAGUGGAUUUUUCCAAUAAAGGUGACUGUUAAUUGGUUCUGAAAUUAUUAGGUAGUAGCAAUGUAGCGGAUAUUAUGUGUUCCACGAAUUGUCUCCCUUAGUAUUAUUAAGUCCAUUUUCACGUUCACUUCCAAUAUAUAUUGAAUUGCAAUUAAACAUAUGUGCAAACUACGACAUUAAUCUCUCUGGUCAAGCUAGUACUUUCGCAGUUCACUCUAAUAAAAUAAGGUUUGUCUGAUUGUCUCCCUCUGAAUGAGCUGAAUUAAACAGGAUUUUAAGGAAUUUAAGGUUGUAUCUCUACGAGUUAAAAGGAUAAAUUGUCAUUUUAAUUAUUAGUUUAUUUUACAAAUUAUAUAUGUAAACCUCAUUCAGAACGAGGUUCUUGAUAUUUAAUAUAUUAGUUUUUUCACUCCUUUGUAAAUAUUCACACAAACAUAUACAAUAAUUUAGCUGAUCCGAUCAAACAUCCUGGACCCACCGCUGAUGUUAGGAAGCUUCUGCAUAAGUUGUGGUUAGUGAUAUCCCGCCAACUACCUGCCAGCAAAAGAUAAACUAAUGUCAGGUCAUGAUCAAGAAAAAUUUGCUUUGAGCCGAAGAGUCCAAUGUCAUAACCAUGCAUAUAUGAAGCACUUUCAAAGAGUAGAUCUAACAGUGUCUGGUUUUCAUUUUUGGAGUUUUUUACCAAUGACUGGAGAGUAGAGAACAACACAUGAUCCCCAUUACAGUAUUGUUGCUUGAAUUUAUAGGCUUCAUCAAUCAGUACCUUCAAAUCCAUAUAUAAUGAGAUGGAAGAAUGAAUUUAAAUUUAUUAAUGUAAUUUCCGAGUUUUAAAAUGAUAAAGCAAGUUGCAACUGGUUCAUUGAAAUUUAAAACAUUCAUAAUGAAGUGCAAGAGCAAAAGAAAAGUUAGGAGCUUUACCUUCAGCAUAACAAGGAGUCUGCUGCAUCAGGCCCACUUUAUCUGCCUCUAUAGACCACCACCUCUUCAUCUUCAGCCUUCUCAAUAAUACAAUCUCUUGUUUCUUCAUUUGAUUCUUCGACCACUACAGCUUCACCUUCAACAUUCUCAGUAGGCUCUGAUGGUGUCACAAUUGUUGUGCUGGUGGUGAGGGGGACGGCUUCAUUAUUUUUCCUGUAUUCAUUAGACCGAGCCAUGUGCUUCUUCCCCCUUUUAUGACCUUCCAUCACGACAGCAGAGUGAGUACCAACUUGACAAACUUCACACCAGAAUUCGAAAUUCUCCCUAAGGGGAAGUUUUCUCUUCAUCGUCUCUGCAGUCGGUAUUCCAUUUGUCGUCUUCCGAGUGUUUUCAUUCGGGUCCUUCUUUGGCAGCUCCUCAUUUUUGUUCUCCGAAUCUUUUUCACCCUCCACUUUCUGGUCUAAACCCACAACAGUUUUAAUCGCUUCAACUGAUUCCUCUUCUACUUUAGCUUUUAUUGCUUGACCAGCACUUUCUGGUCUAAACCCACUUUCUGGUCUAAUUGUCUUUCCAGAUUCUUUUGAUGUUGAUGAAGAUGAGGUGGUCUGAGCUCCAAUUAGCUUGGCUUCCUUUGCCUUGUGCUCCUUACCUUGAAGAUGCUCAUCUUGACCACCCUCCACUUUCUGGUCUAAACCAACAACAGUUUUAUUAGCUUUAACUGAUUCCUCUUCUACAGUAGCCUUAAUUUCUUCGCCAGCACUAUCUCUGUUUUCAAUAGAGUUUCUUGAGGUGGAGUUACUGCACAUCUUCUGAUCUCCAGGUAGUCCUUCUUCCUUGGCCUCGUGCUUCCUGCCUUGAAGAUGCUCAUCUAGAUCUCUCUUGCUAGUAGUACUGAACUGACAGAGGGCACAACUCCAAUCUGUGGGUUUCUUUGAACUCGUCAGCGGGAGCUCUCCAGAACCUGCUGGUAGUGUGGCAGCUUCCUGCUUUGAUCCACAAAGAUUGGGAUAGGGCUUAACCUGCUGGGCUUGACAACCCUCCUCUUUCUGGUCUAAACCAACAACAGUUCUAUUAGCUUUAGCUGAUUCCUCUUCUACUUUAGCCUUCAUUUCUUGGCCAGCACUAUCUCUGCUUUCUGUGGAUUUUUUUAUCCACUUCUGAGCUCCAAGUAGUUCUUCUUCCUUAGCCUUCUGCUUCUUACCUUGAGGAUGCUCAUCUAGACCACCGUCCACUUUCUGGUUAACUGAUUCCUCUUGUAUUUUAGUCUUCAUUUCUUGGCCAACACCAUCUCUGCUUUCUGUAGAUUUUUUUGACGUGGAUGGAAUGGAGUUACUGCACCUUUUCGUAUCUCUAAGUAGCCCUGCAACCUUGGCCUUGUGCUUCCUACCUUGAAGAUGCUCAUCUAGACCUCUCUCAGUAGGAGCACUGACCUGACAGAGGGCACAACUCCACUCCUUGGGCUUGUUCGAAUUCGUCGAAGGAAGCUCUCCAGAACCUGCAGGUAGGGUAGCAGUUUUCUGAUCUGAUCCACAAGGAUUGGAAUUGGGCUUAACCUGCAGGGGUUGACCUCCCUCCACUUUCUGGUCUAAACCAACAACAGUUUUAUUAGCUUUAACUGAUUGAUCUUCUACAUUAGGCUUCAUUUCUUGGUCAGCACUAUCUCUGCUUUCCGUAGCUUUUUUUGAAGUGGAGUUAAUGCACAUCUUCAAAUCUCUAAGUAGUUUUUCCUUGGCCUUGUGCUUUUUACCUUGGAGAUGCACAUCUAGAUCUCUCUCGGUAGUAGCACUGACCUGACAGAGGACACAACUCCACUCCUUGGAUUUGUUUGAACUCGUUGAAGGAAGCUCUCCAGAACCUGCAGGUGGUGUGGCAGCUUUCUUCUUUGAUCCACAAGUAUUGGAAUCGGGCUUAGGCUGGAAACGAUACAGAAACCAUGAUGCCUUAUAUUAGUUAUCACAUCAAUGGUAAAAAUGAAAAAUAUUCCCAGUGAGCUCCAUCAUCUGCUAUUGCAGUGCAGUACAGAUGAAAGAAUUUGUUUACAAAAUAAUAAUGCACAAAUUUUAUUUUAAAUUGUGAAUUCUCAUAAAAGGACGGAAUGUAGAAGUAUAUUUAAAUAGUUGAUACAACCAGAAUCCUUGUUAAUUAACAACAUUUCCAGCACUGAACUACGAAAAUCUUUCCUUCAAAAAACAAGAAAAAAAAGGAAAAUGUUUGAAAAGGAUUCUGAAACACUUUCUUAAUAAGCAGGACAAGAAGAAGAGAUGAUAUUAACACUUACGAGCAUUAUAAUUCAUAAUUUGAGGAAACGGCAUUUCAAUGGAGCCUCCAGCCCAACGCACAUACACGAACACAAGCAAUAAGAUUUAAAAUAAGAAAUUACCGGGAAAAAGAAACAUCAGAA
rnacentral:lncRNA from 1 species